UACGCUAUAGUCAAGUGGUAAGACAACGGACUUUGACUCCGUGAGCCUAGGUUCGAAUCCUAGUGGCGUAG
rnacentral:tRNA from 1 species